rnacentral:ncRNA from 1 species
GUUGUUGCAAUAGUAAUCCUGCUCAGUACAAGAGGAACUGCAGGUUCAGACCCCUCGUGCACGCGCUUGGCUGAGGAGCCACUGGCGCGAGGCUACCGUCUGCGGGCUUAUGACUGAACACCUCUAAGUCAGAAUCCUGCCUAGAUGUAGCGAU